GAUGAAGAACGUAGCGAAAUGCGAUAAGUAAUGUGAAUUGCAGGAUUCAGUGAAUCAUCGAAUCUUUGAACGCACAUUGCGCCCCCUGGUAUUCCGGGGGGCAUGCCUGUUCGAGCGUCAUUUCACCACUCAAGCCUCGCUUGGUAUUGGGCAACGCGGUCCGCCGCGUGCCUCAAUCGACCGGCUGGGUCUUCUGUCCCCUAAGCGUUGUGGAAACUAUUCGCUAAAGGGUGUUCGGGAGGCUACGCCGUAAAACAACCCCAUUUCUAAGGUUGACCUCGGAUCAGGUAGGGAUACCCGCUGAACUUAAGCAUAUCAAUAAGCGGAGGA
rnacentral:misc_RNA from 1 species